rnacentral:rRNA from 1 species
GACGAACGCUGGUGGCGUGCCUAAUACAUGCAAGUAGAACGCACAGUUUAUACCGUAGCUUGCUACACCAUAGACUGUGAGUUGCGAACGGGUGAGUAACGCGUAGGUAACCUGCCUGGUAGCGGGGGAUAACUAUUGGAAACGAUAGCUAAUACCGCAUAAUAUUAAUUAUUGCAUGAUAAUUAAUUGAAAGGUGCAAUUGCACCACUACCAGAUGGACCUGCGUUGUAUUAGCUAGUAGGUGAGGUAACGGCUCACCUAGGCGACGAUACAUAGCCGACCUGAGAGGGUGAUCGGCCACACUGGGACUGAGACACGGCCCAGACUCCUACGGGAGGCAGCAGUAGGGAAUCUUCGGCAAUGGACGAAAGUCUGACCGAGCAACGCCGCGUGAGUGAAGAAGGUUUUCGGAUCGUAAAGCUCUGUUGUAAGAGAAGAACGGGUGUGAGAGUGGAAAGUUCACACUGUGACGGUAUCUUACCAGAAAGGGACGGCUAACUACGUG